rnacentral:hammerhead_ribozyme from 1 species
AUCCAGCUGACGAGUCCCAAAUAGGACGAAACGCGCGUCC